rnacentral:rRNA from 1 species
GAUGAACGCUAGCGGCAGGCUUAACACAUGCAAGUCGUGGGGCAGCGCGAGGUAGCAAUACUUUGGCGGCGACCGGCAAACGGGUGCGGAACACGUACGCAACCUUCCUCAAAGCGGGGGAUAGCCUCUCGAAAGAGAGAUCAAUACCCCAUAGUAUCGUCAGAUGGCAUCUGAAGACGAUUAAAGCUCCGGCACUUUGAGAUGGGCGUGCGGCUGAUUAGGUAGUUGGUAGGGUAACGGCCUACCAAGCCGACGAUCAGUAGCUGAUGUGAGAGCAUGAUCAGCCACACGGGCACUGAGACACGGGCCCGAAUCCUACGGGAGGCAGCAGUGAGGAAUAUUGGUCAAUGGAGGCAACUCUGAACCAGCCAUGCCGCGUGAAGGAUGAAGGUCCUCUGGAUUGUAAACUUCUUUUAUAGAAGAAGAAACCCCAUUUUUCUAAGUGGGUUGACGGUACUCUAUGAAUAAGCACCGGCUAACUCCGUGCCAGCCGCCGCGGUAAUAC